rnacentral:lncRNA from 1 species
GUACAUUCUAUUCUUGAAAAAACAUGACAAUACUCUUAGGUUGUUUCAAAACCUCCAUGAAUUCAUCCGGAUGGGGAUAUGUAAUUGGAAAAAUUCUUAAGAAAUAAACUGAAUUUGCAGUGUCAAUAAUAUGGGAUGUGAUAAUGUAUUAGGAGAAGUAUUGCCUACUUGUUUCUAUAUACUCUUCGUGUUCAAUACAUAACUAUCCUAUAGGAUAUUAAAAUGAAACUUGGUGUCUGAAGAUUAGCUGGGAUGGGUACUUUUUGGAAUUUGGAGGGAGUGUU